UGCAAGUCGAACGAGAAAGCAUCUUCGGAUGUGAGUAAAGUGGCGGACGGGUGAGUAAUACAUAGGAAUCUACCCAAUGGAGGGGGAUAGCUCGAGGAAACUCGAAUUAAUACCGCAUAAUCUCUAUGGAGUAAAGGGGGCUUCGGCUCUCGCCAUCGGAUGAGCCUAUGCAAGAUUAGCUUGUUGGUAGGGUAAUGGCCUACCAAGGCAACGAUCUUUAGCUGGUUUGAGAGGAUGACCAGCCACAUCGGGACUGAGACACGGCCCGGACUUCUACGGAAGGCAGCAGUAGGGAAUAUUGGACAAUGAGCGAAAGCUUGAUCCAGCUAUGCCGCGUGUGCGAUGACGGCCCUCGGGUUGUAAAGCACUUUAGGUAACGAGGAAAAGUUAGGUGUUAAUACCAUCUAACCAUGACGUUAAUUACAGAAUAAGCACCGGCUAAAUCCGUGCCAGCAGCCGCGGUAAUACGGAUGGUGCAAGCGUUAAUCGGAAAUUACUGGGCGUAAAGCGCGCGUAGGUGGCAUAC
rnacentral:rRNA from 1 species